rnacentral:tRNA from 1 species
GGCCGCGUGGCCUAAUGGCUAAGGCGCCUGUUUCCGGCGCAGGAGAUUCCAGGUUCGAGUCCUGGCGUGGUCG